rnacentral:rRNA from 1 species
GACGAACGCUGGCGGCGUGCUUAACACAUGCAAGUCGAACGGUGAAGCUCCAGCUUGCUGGAGUGGAUCAGUGGCGAACGGGUGAGUAACACGUGAGCAACCUGCCCCUGACUCUGGAAUAAGCGCUGGAAACGGCGUCUAAUACUGGAUACGAGAAGGGUCCGCAUGGGCACUUUCUGGAAAGUUUUUCGGUUGGGGAUGGGCUCGCGGCCUAUCAGCUUGUUGGUGAGGUAAUGGCUCACCAAGGCGACGACGGGUAGCCGGCCUGAGAGGGCGACCGGCCACACUGGGACUGAGACACGGCCCAGACUCCUACGGGAGGCAGCAGUGGGGAAUAUUGCACAAUGGGCGAAAGCCUGGUGCAGCGACGCCGCGUGAGGGAUGACGGCCUUCGGGUUGUAAACCUCUUUCAGCAGGGAAGAAGCGAAAGUGACGGUACCUGCAGAAGAAGCACCGGCUAACUACGUG